rnacentral:rRNA from 1 species
AGCGAACGCUGGCGGCAGGCUUAACACAUGCAAGUCGAACGGGCUUCUUCGGAAGUCAGUGGCAGACGGGUGAGUAACACGUGGGAACGUGCCCUUCGGUUCGGAAUAACUCAGGGAAACCUGAGCUAAUACCGGAUACGCCCUUUUGGGGAAAGGUUUACUGCCGAAGGAUCGGCCCGCGUCUGAUUAGCUUGUUGGUGGGGUAACGGCCUACCAAGGCGACGAUCAGUAGCUGGUCUGAGAGGAUGAUCAGCCACACUGGGACUGAGACACGGCCCAGACUCCUACGGGAGGCAGCAGUGGGGAAUAUUGGACAAUGGGCGCAAGCCUGAUCCAGCCAUGCCGCGUGAGUGAUGAAGGCCUUAGGGUUGUAAAGCUCUUUUGUCCGGGACGAUAAUGACGGUACCGGAAGAAUAAGCCCCGGCUAACUUCGUG